rnacentral:rRNA from 1 species
UACGUAGGGGGCAAGCGUUGUCCGGAAUUAUUGGGCGUAAAGCGCGCGCAGGCGGCCGUUUAAGUCUGGUGUUUAAGCCCGAGGCUCAACCUCGGAUCGCACGGGAAACUGGAUGGCUUGAGUGCAGGAGAGGGAAGUGGAAUUUCCGGUGUAGCGGUGAAAUGCGUAGAUAUCGGAAGGAACACCUGUGGCGAAAGCGGCUCACUGGACCAUUACUGACGCUGAUGCACGAAAGCUAGGGGAGCAAACAGG